rnacentral:rRNA from 1 species
GGUUCAUUCAAAUUUCUGCCCUAUCAACUUUCGAUUGUAAGAUAGAGGCUUACAAUGGUCUUAACGGGUAACGGGGAAUUAGGGUUCUAUUCCGGAGAGGGAGCCUGAGAAACGGCUACCACAUCCAAGGAAGGCAGCAGGCGCGCAAAUUACCCAAUGCUAACCAGCGAGGUAGUGACAAUAAAUACUGAUACGGGGCUCUUUCGGGUCUCGUAAUUGGAAUGAGUACAAUCUAAAUCCCUUAACGAGGAACAAUUGGAGGGCAAGUCUGGUGCCAGCAGCCGCGGUAAUUCCAGCUCCAAUAGCGUAUAUUAAAGUUGUUGCCGUUAAAAAGCUCGUAGUUG